rnacentral:lncRNA from 1 species
UCAGCACCUCGGAGACAACAAAGCUACGAUUUCGUUUCACCACGAUCGACCACGGAUUCACGACAAAAUCCAAUCUUUCUUUCCAAUAGAAGGAAUAACACAUAAAUACAUAUAAAACAUGUGUUUUUGGAUUUUCUCGAAAUCCGUGCAUCAAACUCAAAAUUCGUCAGCGCCAGUAGUUCCAGAAUAGCUGAACCGGUCGAAACGAGCUAUUGGAUCGCUAUGAACGGAGUCCGAUACGCGUAGAAAACCAACUCUACUCCGUAGCUUCACCGAAAAACCGGAGUUACUAUUCACUUAAGUGAAAACUAAUAAUCGCGUAACUUCUCCGUUUUAGCUCAUUUUCUCCUGAAACUUGACGAGUGUUUAUAUAGUUAAAUUACACAUAUAAACAUCAUCAACAGAGAGUUUAGUUGCACUGUAAAAAUCUCAGUCCUUACAACAAAUAAGUAUGACUAAAAAAAUAUUUUUCACCAAAGCAUGCAUAUUAAGAAAAAUUUAAAGAAAAUAUUUUUUUAAAACUAACC